rnacentral:tRNA from 1 species
AGGAUAAUAGUUAAUUAUAACAUUUAACUUGCACUUAAAAAGUACUGAUCUAAUCAGUUUAUCUUA